GGCCUGAUGGUCUAGUAGUAUGAUUCCUUGUUAGGGCAUUAUCGUUAUCGAUUCCUGUGUUUCGAGGAGGUCCCGGGUUCAAUUCCCGGUUAGGCCC